rnacentral:sRNA from 1 species
GGUGGUUUUCCCUGGAGAGUAUGUCUUGUGUUGGCUCUUUCCUGUUUUGGCUCCAUCAACUUCCUGUCUGCAGUCCUCUGAGCUACUCUGUUACAGCCUCCUAGCCUAAUAGAUCAAAGCCUCUGUUAAUUGAGACAGGAUCUUACUGUGUAGCCCUGGCUGUCCUGGAACUCACAGAGAGCUGCCUGCCCCUGCCUCCCGAGUGCUGGGAUUAAAGGCGUGCACCACCAGAUCCAGCAUCUGUAUUUUACUCACGUAGGUAUAUGUGGAUCACGUGCAUGAAGUGCAUCUCCUGGAACUGGAGUUCCAGGAAGUUGUGAGCUCACCAGUGUGGACCUUCAAACUCUGCAAAAGCAGCUCUUAGCCAUGGGGCCAUUGCUGCUUGGGCCCUCUUUCCUUAUCAGAUAUCUUGUCCCCACAACAGAAAAGGUGACUGACAAAGAAGAGAAGCUACCUUCAUUCCAGUGGGCGCCAAGCUCCUAGAAGAAAAGGAGGAUCCGAACUUUGCCUGGACUGAGAGGGCUCCACGCCAGGAGGCAGCCACAGUUAACUGUUGACCUUGUGCCUGGGACAAACGCCAGCUUCCAUCAGCCCUCUCUGGCUCAGUUACAACUUGGCAGCAGGUGUGGACAGGCAGCUGCCCCAGCAGUGGGAAACUGAUGCAAACUGGGCCUCCAGUGUACACCUGACCUGGCCCUGACUGCUCUUCACUUUCACUGGGCUCCAGGCCUGGGACAGCUGCCAGCAAUGGCUUCCCAGACAAGCAUGAGUAACUUGGUCUUUGUCUUAGUGUUUUCCAAGUCCAAAUGAGCUUUACAGGAAACGUUAUGAGGUUAUGUAAGCUUUGGAUCUGAGAGCUGGGCUGAAGCAUGGAUUCCUACAGGCUUAGUCUCUGCUGCCUACAUGUGUGAGGAGACCUGACUGCCCCUCCUCAGAGCUCCCUUAUGCACUUGUUUUCCCAAUGCUGGGGUCACUGUCCUAGGUUAGAGACUCGCCCUGUGGUUUGCUGAUCAUGAACAGGAGCUGUGUGCAGCUGGCACGGGCGGUGACAAAUCACCCGGUAGAUGGGUCGGGACCUUUCAAAUGAAACAUAUAAAAUGUAUCAAAAUCUAACAGUGAGGAAUCAAAGAAGGGUUCAGGUUCAAUCCACCUAACAGGCAAAGUUCAUUUGGAAACAGGCACAUAUGUGGAUUCUAUGAUCUACGCAAAUAGUAAAUGUGGCAGGCUUAAAAAACCAA